AAUUUUAUUCUCUAUUUGGGAAUUCACAAUUUUGCAUAUAAUACCACAUUUUCUGGGUUUUUUUCUCAGACUGUUCUAAUUUAAAGCAUUGUAUCUAUUCUCCACAAGUAUAAUCAUGAUUGAUAGGCUAUGUGUUCUGGUUGUUUCAGGUUAGUAAUUGAGCUGAAUUUCUACAUCUUAAUCCUAUUUAAGGAGGCUAAGUAGAUAUCUUCUGAAUAGGCAUUAUACACUUACAGUGAGAAAAUGAAUACUAGUCCUUACAUUGUAAAGUAGAAACCCAGCUAAGAUCUCUUGUUUUGUUUUGGUUGGUUUUUCUAAGUUCCCUUUCCCCAAAUUCUUGUGAACAACAUCGUGCUCUCCCUUCCUUAAGCGACAUGUUCAAAUGUCACAUUCCUCAUUAAGUCUUUCUCAGUUCCUACAGCUAGACUGUCUCCAGCACCAGAGUGUCCAUGUCUUCUGCACUUCUCAGAGUGACCGUAUAACUAACUACACAUGUUCACUACCCACAAUCGCAAGAAACACAAGAGGGCAAACACAAGAAGGAUAUGCGAAGAGGACUCCAUAUUUCAGAAUAAAUGACUGUUGUAAAGUUAAACGAAAAUGAAAUUAAUGAUUCAGGGCACCACCACUGCUGUUCAAACCAUGACUGGUGUCCAGCUUGUUGGUAGACAAGAACGUGUGCUGGCACAGGUGGAGUUCAUGAGGAGCAGAAACGCAAGACAAGGUGUCUCAUGCCCAGGGAGCAUCAGUGGCCGUUUUCUUUCUCAUGAAAGGGACUGAUUUGGGAUGGAUUCUUUAACCUUUUGGAGAGAGCUUGUAAACUAUCAAAAAAGAAUGAAAACAAGACACCCUUACCCCACUGGUUUGUUAUGAUUCUAAGACAUAAUAACAUGGUUUACAAAUAAACAAUGUACAAACAGUAGACAUAAUUUAAAUAACAACAAGCACAUGGAAUUACUCUCUUAUUCAUAAAAAGAGUCAAGGUCAGUGCAGAAGCAAAAGACAGGAAGGAAAGGUUGUCUUGUUGCUUUCUAAUCAAAUACCCACUUUCACCAUAAUCACAAGUCUCCCUGGCACCCAGGAGGUGGAGGUAGGAGGACAGCCACAGUUUGAGGCCAGCCUACACUGCAUAGUGAAUUCCAGCCCCGUCUCAAAAAAACCUAAAUAAAUAAAUAAACAGAAGUAUUUGUUUCAUGAGGAAGUUUUUCGGUAUCUUUUCUUCCAAAGCCAAAUUACUAACGACAAAUGAACUCACCAACGCAAUUGAUUGAGGUAAACCCCAGCAUGCCAAUUUAGCCUUUCUGGAAUGCUAACAGUAGAGUGAAAAAUUAGGAAAGUAGCUAAAACUUUUACCUUUUUUUUUUUUUUUUCUUUCUGAAAAGAAACUGCUCAACUCAAAAUUUUGCUAAAGGAAUUGAUCUUACAUUAUUUCCCAUAAACCCACCAUGGGGACUGACGGACUGUGGAUUACAAGGAUACACAGACAUGAAAUCCAUGUCCUAGAGCAUUGUUAACACAGUGCAUAAUUCUCAGCAACUCCCAAGUGACUUUUUCUGACAGCUAUUCCAUGUGAAACAAUGAAAACUAUAUCCAUGCUUAUUUGUGUUUUCUGGUAGCCUUUAAAUGCAAUAGUGAAGAUUAAAGGGCCAGAGCCCUCUUAUGAUUAUUCAUAAUUUUUUAAAAAAUCAUCUUAUUGUAUUCAAAAUACGUAUUUAAUGUAACUCAAAUACAUUUUAGGGUCUGUCUAUUUGUGCAUUUGUUCACUGAGCACAUAUUUAUCAGGUACCUCUUGGAUACCAUUCUCACUGCUAGACACUAACAGGCAUAAAAAAUGAAUAAGAUUCAGUCCCCAUCUUCAAGGAACUAAUGAUUUAGUAGGGGAGUAAGAUAUGUACAAAGACAACUGUAAUACAAAAGAGAAUAUAAUAAAUACUUUUUAAAGGCUCAGACAAAAUCUUGUGAGUGGUGCACAUCCAAUCAGAAAUGAGAAAGUGUCACAGAGAUGACAUCAUUCAACACCAGGGAUUGAAUGAUAUACAGUGAAUAUGAACCUAUGGCAUAUGUGUUAUUUUUUUUCCUUUUAAGACAAAAACUGUUAAUGUAUGAGUUAUGU
ensembl:lincRNA